rnacentral:rRNA from 1 species
GACGUAGGGCGCGAGCGUUGUCCGGAUUUAUUGGGCGUAAAGAGCUCGUAGGCGGUCUGUCGCGUCUGCUGUGAAAACUCGGGGCUUAACCCCGGGCCUGCAGUGGGUACGGGCAGACUAGAGUGCGGUAGGGGAGACCGGAAUUCCUGGUGUAGCGGUGAAAUGCGCAGAUAUCAGGAGGAACACCGGUGGCGAAGGCGGGUCUCUGGGCCGUAACUGACGCUGAGGAGCGAAAGCAUGGGGAGCGAACAGG